GCCCAGGUGGUGAAAUUGGUAGACACGCAGUCUUGAGGGGGCUGUGCUCUUACGGGCGUAUGGGUUCAAGUCCCAUUCUGGGCA
rnacentral:tRNA from 1 species